rnacentral:piRNA from 7 species
CCGGAUAGCUCAGUCGGUAGAGCA